AUUCAAUCCUGCUCUCAUCUCUCUCUCUCUCCGACCAAGAUGCAUUUUUUCUCUCGAGAUGAGCCAACAGCAACGGCUUAUGCAUGCAAGCUCACGGAAAUUAUCUGUCGUUAUUUCCUCGCGCAAAUUCGGUCGAAUUGGCUCUCCGUGAACUUCCAACUUCCGCUGAUGAACUUCAAUUUUGCAAAGGGAUGCUGUGUAUAUUUUCUCUCUAUUUAUCUUUCUAGAGAAAAGAUGUAGAGAAGAUAUUUUAUCAUAUCGAUUCACAAAAUAAAAGCUGGCAAGAGCGGAAAACGACUCACCACACCUCGUUUCAGUGCUCGACGACGAUUGGUUCUGGCAGAUCCCGGAGGAUGGAGAUAGAGAAGGUAGCGCAGAGUAGAAAACGUUGCGGGGUGUCUUCGAGGAAAGAGGAAGGAAGGCGAUGGAGGAGAGACGAGGACGAUGAUCCGCCCUUGAGAACGAGGGUUGAAACGCCUCGUGAAACGCCAUCAUCAAGCAUUCAUAAGCAGCUUCUUUAUUAUACUUUACACCGGAUUCCUUUGAAAUAAUUGGUGCAUACGAGCUUACGCCAGAAAUAUGAAUAAUUUUAAAAAGAAAUCUCUAUUGAAAUUUAAUAUUUACUUUUUUUGUUGUGUGAAGUUAGUGGCAGUAUUUGAGAAUGAAUUUUAUGUUUUGAAAAAUACCUGUGUCUCAUAUUAAUAAUAUAUUUGAUAAUUAGAUAUAAUAAAAUAUAGAUGUAAGAAGUUAGAAGUAAAUAAAUAUUGAAAAUCAUUGAUUUAUAAUUAUUUACAA